ACCUGGCUGGCUCAGUUGGAGCAUGUGACUCUUGAUCUCAAGGUUGUGAGUUUGAGCCCCACGCUGGGUG
rnacentral:tRNA from 1 species